rnacentral:rRNA from 1 species
AUUGAACGCUGGCGGCAGGCCUAACACAUGCAAGUCGAACGAGUGGCGGACGGGUGAGUAAUGUCUGGGAAACUGCCUGAUGGAGGGGGAUAACUACUGGACACGGUAGCUAAUACCGCAUACCAUCAGAUGUGCCCAGAUGGGAUUAGCUAGUUGGUGGGGUAACGGCUCACCAAGGCGACGAUCCCUAGCUGGUCUGAGAGGAUGACCAGCCACACUGGAACUGAGAAACGGUCCAGACUCCUACGGGAGGCGGCAGUGGGGAAUAUUGCACAUGGGGCGAAAGCCGGAGGCAGCCAUGCCGCGUGUAUGAAGAAGGCCUUCGGGUUGUAAAGUAUUUUCAGCGGGGAGACGUUACCCGCAGAAGAAGCACCGGCUAACUCCGUGCCAACAGCCGCGGUAUAC